rnacentral:lncRNA from 1 species
CCUACUCCCAUGCUUCUGGGGAUUUACACUUUUGCUGAUCAGCUGGACAAGCACCAACAGUGGAAAUCCUCCUGGCAAACAGAAAGAACACAGUCUCCAGAGUCAGACUGACCCAAGGACUGCACAAGCGUCAUCUUUUAUUUCCUGUGCCAUCUGGCUCAAACUACUCCAAGCUCUUUCCACGUCUCAAUAACUUUGUCUGUGAAAUGAAGCUAUAAGAAAACCAAAGAAAGGGAAGCCAUGUCCUUUCCACUAUGAAGGCUUUCAAAGGAAAGGAAAUAGGACACUGGCUGGAAUUCAGCCACAAAGCUUGAAUCCACAUGGUGACACUUUGAGAGAUCUUCAAAGUUCCUGCCCUCGGGGAAGUAGAUUCUCUAAGCAAGUCAUCUGGCAGAAGAACCCACUGGCAAAAUCUACUGAAAGAGGAUAAUGUAAAAUGACAGCUGUAAUGUUUUUGCAAAAGUUCUGAAGACAGUGCUGAGCCAACAGGAUGCAUGACCACGUAUCUGGAGCUUCUGUUUCAAGGAUGAAAAUUACACAUAAACAUUUACUAUACUUAGACUAUUUCCCAAAAUCCCACUGAGAUGAUGAUACAUAAAAACUAAUAAUCCAUAAUAGUCCAUAAACAAGAAAGGGUGCCAAUAGCCAAUUAGAAAAUUUGAAAAAUUUAUGAAAGGUGAGAAAGCAGAUGGAAUACUGUUGAUGGACAAACCAGAGGAAACUGCAACUGAAACAAGCAUGGUGAGGGUUGCUCUGGCAAUUCGAACCAUGCUUCCCAGGGAUCCUUAAGGAAUAUGGAGCUAAAGAGGAUGGGAGUACAAGCAAUCAAGACCAUGUCUGUGAGGCUUGAAGCCGAUCAGCCAAUUCUCCACCACAGAACAACCAGAGAGAUACAAACCACACUAGGAGGUUGGAGGAGAAAGAAGACUCAAGGAACUUGACUAAAACGAUGUGGACAACAGGCUUUCUGUUCUGCUGUGCCUAAUAUCAACUUUCCUGAUAUAUUAAAAAACCAAAAC